rnacentral:rRNA from 1 species
AUUGAACGCUGGCGGCAGGCCUAACACAUGCAAGUCGAACGGUAACAGGAAGAAGCUUGCUUCUUUGCUGACGAGUGGCGGACGGGUGAGUAAUGUCUGGGAAACUGCCUGAUGGAGGGGGAUAACUACUGGAAACGGUAGCUAAUACCGCAUAACGUCGCAAGACCAAAAAGGGGGACCUUCGGGCCUCUUGCCAUCGGAUGUGCCCAGAUGGGAUUAGCUAGUAGGUGGGGUAACGGCUCACCUAGGCGACGAUCCCUAGCUGGUCUGAGAGGAAGACCAGCCACACUGGAACUGAGACACGGUCCAGACUCCUACGGGAGGCAGCAGUGGGGAAUAUUGCACAAUGGGCGCAAGCCUGAUGCAGCCAUGCCGCGUGUAUGAAGAAGGCCUUCGGGUUGUAAAGUACUUUCAGCGGGGAGGAAGGGAGUAAAGUUAAUACCUUUGCUCAUUGACGUUACCCGCAGAAGAAGCACCGGCUAACUCCGUG